rnacentral:rRNA from 1 species
AGCAGCCGCGGUAAUUCCAGCUCCAAUAGCGUAUAUUAAAGUUGUUGCAGUUAAAAAGCUCGUAGUUGAAUUUCGGGGUCAGUAGGUCGGUCGUGCCACUGGUAUGAACUGGUUUCACUGAUUCCUCCCUCUUGUAGAACCGUGAUGCCAUUAAUUUGGUGUUGCGGGGAAACAGGACUGUUACUUUGAAAAAAUUAGAGUGUUUAAAGCAAGCUAACGCUUGAAUACAUUAGCAUGGAAUAAUGAAAUAGGACGUCGAUCUUAUUUUGUUGGUUUCUAGGGUUGACGUAAUGAUUAAUAGGGAUAGUUGGGGGCAUUAGUAUUCAAUUGUCAGAGGUGAAAUUCUUGGAUUUAUUGAAGACUAACUACUGCGAAAGCAUUUGCCAAGGAUGUUUUCAUUAAUCAAGAACGAAAGUUAGGGGAUCGAAGACGAUCAGAUACCGUCGUAGUCUUAACCAUAAACUAUGCCGACUAGGGAUCGGAUGAUGUUAAUUUUUUAAUGACUCAUUCGGCGCCUUACG